CUGUGCAACAAGGUUUUCGCUGACCCUCACGGGACCUGUGAUCCGCAGCACUAUGGACAAUGUGGAUUGCCUACAGGAAGACCCUAAAGACCGUGAAACACUGAUUCCACACACCAAGGAGGCGCUUUCCAGUUGAGAGCUGACUGCUUUUCUCCUAAGAAGAUGAAUACCUGGAAAAGCAAACAAACAAACAAAAAACAGCUUGAGGUAUUUAUGAAGAAUGCUAUGAACACUGAAGUAAAUUUUAACUAUUUCCUUCUGACUGUGUAACUUCYGAUUUUUGAUUGUCACUUUAAAGUAAGAUGUUGC